GUAAAAAUUUCGUUUCUUUCAUCAAAACUUUACAAUUCGUUGGAUUAAAAUCCCGUCCAGAGCUUUAAAGCUUUCCUGACGCUCCGUCACCAGAGAGCACAAUUGGACAACAAAAUCCCAAACCCCGCCCAUUCAUGACUCAACAAGGAUACCGAUUGGUCAGCACCAUCUUAAUCCCGACCCAUUUAACCGAAGCCCCGCCCAUUACCUACUACUCGUCGGUCACCAUGGAUGAUGAAAAGCUCCAGUCCUAACACAACACGCUGACAGCGCACGAGCGCAGCGGAGCUGGAUCUGCAGGCGCAAAUAAAACAAGCUCGCUGGACUAUUUACCCCGGGUUCUUUAAUGGUUUUCUGACCCCUCUUUUAUAGUUUGUUAGGAUUUAGAGAGCGCUUGUGUAGCUUAUAUUUUGUGCUGGAAAGGUGUGCGUGUGUGUGUGAGUGUGAGAGUGUGAGAGUGUGAGGAGGAAACGCACAGCGCAGACGCUUCACCUGGCUGGAGAGCUUACAGCAGAGGAGUGGAAGGGAAAGGGUUCUGUGCUGUCAGUGGGAUGGUAGAAGGGUGGAGUGGAGUCCAGGCUGAAGGAGCAUGGUGAAACACCAACCCCUGCAGGUCUAUGAGAGACAGCUGUGCUUGUCUUGUCUAACGGGGAUCUACGGCUGCCGCUGGAAACGUUACCAGCGCUCACAUGAUGACACCACAAAGUGGGAGUGUAUGUGGACCCUCAUCCUCUUCGGGACGUUCACUCUGCUGCUGUUCUGGUUUUAUUUCUGGUGGGAAGCAAGCAACGACUACAGCGAGUUUAACUGGUAUUUAUAUAACCAGUCAGGCGAGUGGAGUGAUGGAACUGUUCCCAUACUGGCUACAACAGCUGCAGGCUUCACCUAUAUUGCAUUUUUAAUGAUUUUAGCACUAUGUCACAUCUCAGUUGGACAGCAGCUGAACCUGCACUGGAUCCAUAAGAUCGGAGUGACUGCAGCUUUACUGACCACCGUGAUCGGCAUGAUAUCCGUCAGUCAGAUCUGGAGCAAGGAAUGGGAUAUCUUCUCGAUCUCUCUACAAGCCACAGGACCCUUCCUGCACAUCGGUGCUCUUGCUGCAGUUACAGCAUUGGCCUGGCUGGUGGCUGGACAAGUAGCUCGAUCUGAGAAGACCAAGUUUCAGGUAAUAGUUCUGCUCAUCUACCUGGUGGUGCUUCUGAGCCUCUACCUGACCCCGCUGUCCAUCACAUCGCCCUGCAUCAUGGAGCCGCAUGACCUCAAAGCACGGCCUGCUGUAAUCGGCCAGCGCGGAGCUCCCAUGCUGGCUCCGGAGAACACGCUACUUUCUUUCCGGAGAGCUCUGCAGAAGAACGUCAGUGGGUUGGAGGCAGAGGUGGCCAUCAGUCUAGAUGGAGUGCCAUUCCUGAUGAGAGAUCGUACCCUGAGGAGAACCACAGAUGUGAGCAAAGUCUUUCCUGAGAGACAGAAUGACGACGCCUCGUUCUUCAACUGGACUGAACUGAGCAUGCUCAGUGCUGGCCAGUGGUUUCUAAAGGAUGACCCGUACUGGACGUUGAAGUACAUGUCUGCGCAAGAGCGCUGGGCAAUGGAAAAUGAGACAGUGUGCAGUCUGGAACAGAUGCUUCACCUGGCAUCCGUCUACAACUGCUCAGCCCUGUUUACCCUCCGCAGACCUCCUCCGGGACACCCACACCACCUGAACUGGGUCAACCUCACCCUGACCACCGUCCUGCACUCGGGCAUCCCUCAGCACCUGGUGGUGUGGAGUGUGGACUGGGACAGAGAGCUGGUACAGCAGCAGGCUCCAGGCUUCCAGCAGAUCUCCACUAAGAUACAGACGCUGGAGAAUCUCCACGAGAAAGGCAUCAGCAGAUUAUUGCUGCGCUACGACCACGUCAGUGACGAGGAUAUACGGACGUACACAGCUGGUAAUGUGAGUGUGACUCUGUACACUGUGAAUGAGCCUUGGCUGUACUCUGUACUCUGGUGCAGCGGCGUGCACUCCGUCUCCUCCGAAGCACCGCAGAUCCUCAAGAAGGUUUUAUCACCUCUCUGGAUAAUGAGUCCAGACGAGUACUGCGUGAUUUGGGUCGCCACAGAUCUCGUCUCCUUCGCCCUGGUCCUGGGGAUUUUUGUAUUCCAGAAGUGGAGGAUGAGUGGCAUGCGUAGCUACAACCCGGAGCAGAUCAUGCUGAGCGCCACUGUCAGGAGGUCGAGCCGAGACGUCAACAUCAUGAAGGAGAAGCUCAUCUUCUCUGGUCAGCAACAGUAGCCGUUUAACCCCAGCUGUAACCCUCCAUCAUCUCAUCUCCCAUCCUGCACCAUCCUGUACCAUCCCUAACCAUCCCGCUACAUCCCCCUCCAUCCUGCUCCUACCUGAACCAUCCUGCAUCAUCUUUCAUCCUCCUGCUCCAUCCUGCAUCAUCUUUCACCAUCCCCCUCCACCCUGCUCCAUCCUGCUCCUACCUGAACCAUCCUGCUCCAUCCUGCUCCUACCUGAACCAUCCUGCUCCAUCCUGCUCCUACCUGAACCAUCCUGCUCCAUCCUCCUACAUCCUGCUCCUACCUGACUCACCUGCUCCAUCCUGCUCCUACCUGAACCAUCCUCCUCCAUCCUGCUCCUACCUGAACCAUCCUCCUCCAUCCUGCUCCUACCUGAACCAUCCUCCUCCAUCCUGCUCCAUCCUGAACCAUCCUGCUCCAUCCUGCUCCUACCUGAACCAUCCUGCUCCAUCCUGCUCCUACCUGAACCAUCCUGCUCCAUCCUCCUACAUCCUGCUCCUACCUGACUCACCUGCUCCAUCCUGCUCCUACCUGAACCAUCCUCCUCCAUCCUGCUCCAUCCUGAACCAUCCUCCUCCAUCCUGCUCCUACCUGAACCAUCCUGCUCCUACCUGAACCACCCUCCUCCAUCCUGCUCCAUCCUGAACCAUCCCUAACCACCCUUCAUGACCAUCCCGCUCCAUCCUGAACCACCCUGAACCAUCCUGCAUCAUCCACCCUCUCGCUGCCUCUCACUGCAUCCUGCCAUCUCUCCAUCCACCGCUCCAUCCUUCACCUCCAGUCCUAGCUCAUGAAUGGCUGUGGUUGUCAUGACCAGUGCUCUCUUCAUGAGGUCAGCGAUGGGGUCAGCUAUGAGGAAAACGGGUUCGACUGCUACACCAAUCAGGGCGUUCACUGACUCGGCGCUCCACACUGACUGGGUGAAGACGUCGGAUUUCCGACUCGCCCGUACCGCUUUAUUUCUUUUCCACGUCGUCGCUUUGUCACAAAAUGUUUAAUUCUUUUCUCCAUUUUCAGUUUCCCUGUGAGCUUUGGAACGUCACUGUAUUGCUAAAGGAACAUCAGUGUAUAUUCUGUAUAGUUUCUUCUUCUUCUUCUUCUUUUGUUUUGUACUGUAAAUGACGUGUGAAGCAUUUGACGUGGGCGGUCUGUGGCCUGUCGAGUGCUCGUGACGACCGGAACGUCCGCCAUUUUGUUUUGAUUGUUCAUUUUGGAGAUGAACGACUGGAACCAGGGGGUGAGGGAUAUUCCUAAACGAACCUGCGCAUGUGUGUGUGGUCUAUGAUGUAUGUUCUGAUGUACUCUGGGACACUCUCUUGCCUUCUCUAAGGGCCGACGCGACAUCCUGUGUGUUUACAGCGUGCCUGUAUUUUCAUACACACCCAUUUAACAUUUUCAACAACGAUGAUUUUUAUUUAUAUUUGUGUGUUUUAUGCCUUUCGGUCGUUUAAAUAAAGGUGUAAAGGGUUUUAAAUGCACGCAGAGGAGUAAACAGGUUCCAGUCGAUGUACUUGAGCUUAUAAAGGUUUGUGGUCGGACUGUAAAAGCAGGAAGGGCGAGUACAAGCUUUAAAGGAAAAAUCCACUCCGAAUGCCUUGCACAUUAACCCCAUCUUUAUCUCAAACUGCACUAGCGUCAGAGCGACACACGAGCGCUAACUUCUCACGGGGACGACCGGCCGACGAGUCGCACCGGAUCAUCCGGGAUGAAACGUUUUGAACGCGUUUCAGGGUGGAGUUCUUCUUUAAAGUCUGACACUGAAAGAGCCGAAGCCGAACACGUCUCGGUGCCGUGGGCGGUACUACUGGAACAGACGUCUGGCCUGGAAUCAAAGCCGAGUGUUUAUAUUUAUAUAUUGUACAGUGAUUGUGUCACAGCAUCAUCAUCCUCAUCCUCAUCCUCAUCAUCAUCGACUUCGUCUUCUUCCUCAUCGGCUCACUGUAUUUUAUUUGCGAUGAACAGUUUAUAAGUUAUGGCACUGGAAGACAUGUUAGAAGAAGCGUUUUAUUAAAAAGUUCACGUUCACACGAGACGACGUACAAAUCGUGUUAUUUUGGGUUUUUAUUUUAUACGUGUUGCUCAGAAUAAAUAAAAUCAAUAUUAAAAAAAAAACCUAAUCAUUUAUUUGUGGAUCGUGAAUUUAUAUAUAAUUUAUUAGAGAGACAGCCAGAUAGACAGAGAGAGAGAGACAGAUAGAGAGAUAGAUGGAGAGAGACACAGAGAGAGAAACAGACAGAGACAGAUAGAGAGAAUUAGAGAGAGAGACAGAGAGAAAUAGAGACAGAGAGAGAAAUAGAGGCAGAGAGAGAGAUAGAGAGAAAUAGAGACAGAGAGUAAUAGAGAGAGAGACAGAGAGAGAAACAGACAGAGACAGAUAGAGAGAAUUAGAGAGAGAGACAGAGAGAAAUAGAGACAGAGAGAGAAAUAGAGGCAGAGAGAGAGACAGAGAGAAAUAGAGAGAGAGAUAGAGAGAAAUAGAGUCAGAGAGAGAAAUAGAGACAGAGAGAGUUAGAUAGAGAGAAAUAGAGAGAAAGAGACAGAGAGAUAGAAAUAGAGAUAGGGAGAAAUAGAGACAGAGUUAGAGAGAAAUAGAGUCAGAGAGAGAAAUAUAGAGAGAGAAAUAGAGAGAGAUAGAGAGAAAUAGAGACAGAGAAAUAGAGUCAGAUAGAGAGAAAUAGAGACAGAGAGAGAAAUAGAGACAGGGAGACAGAGAAAUAGAGUCAGAGAGAGUUAGAUAGAGAGAAAUAGAGUCAGAGAGUUAGAUAGAGAGGAAUAGGGUCAGAGAGAGAGAGAAAUAGAGACAGGGAGACAGAGAAAUAGAGUCAGAGAGAGUUAGAUAGAGAGAAAUAGAGUCAGAGAGUUAGAUAGAGAGGAAUAGGGUCAGAGAGAGAGAGAAAUAGAGACAGGGAGACAGAGAGAAAUAGAGUCAGAGAGAGAGAGAAAUAGAGUCAGACAGAGAGAGAGUUAGAUAGCGAGAGAGUGAAUAUAUAGCGAAACAGUGUAGAGUCACAUAGACAUGAUAUUCUUCCCAAAAAGCCACGUUUUAGAUUCGGUUGUUUACAGUAUGUAUUAACUCAU